rnacentral:rRNA from 1 species
UACGGAGGGUGCAAGCGUUAUCCGGAAUCACUGGGUUUAAAGGGUACGUAGGCGGUCUAAUAAGUCAGGUGUGAAAUACCGCGGCCUAACUGCGGAACUGCACUUGAUACUGCUAGACUUGAGUAGGGUGGAGGUACACGGAAUGCAUCAUGUAGCGGUGAAAUGCUUAGAUAUGAUGUAGAACACCGAUAGCGAAGGCAGUGUGCCACACCUAUACUGACGCUGAGGUACGAAAGCGUGGGGAGCGAACAGG